rnacentral:rRNA from 1 species
ACUCCUACGGGAGGCAGCAGUGGGGAAUAUUGGACAAUGGGCGCAAGCCUGAUCCAGCAAUGCCGCGUGAGUGAUGAAGGCCUUCGGGUUGUAAAGCUCUUUCGCACGCGACGAUGAUGACGGUAGCGUGAGAAGAAGCCCGGCUAACUUCGUGCCAGCAGCCGCGGUAAUACGAAGGGGCGUAGCGUUGUUCGGAAUUACUGGGCGUAAAGGGCGCGUAGGCGGUGUGUCAAGUCAGGCGUGAAAGCCCGGCGUCACCACUGGGAACAGCGCUUGAGACUGGCACGCUCGAGUUCGGGGAGAGGAUGGUGGAAUUCCCAGUGUAGAGGUGAAAUUCGUAGAUAUUGGGAAGAACACCGAUGGCGAAGGCAGCCAUCUGGACCGACACUGACGCUGAGGCGCGAAAGCGUGGGGAGCAAACAGGAUUAGAUACCCUGGUAGGCUCUGC